rnacentral:lncRNA from 1 species
AGGCUGCAGCAGCAAUUCAGAGGAAGUUGGAGCCAGAUCCUAUUUAAGAUGUAUGUUUGCUGGUGGCGGUAGGAUCAAGAACUAGAACUACAUCUAACCUCUGUUUGGUUAGAGGCGGAAAUACCUACAAGAACUUGAACUACAUCUAACCUCUGUUUGGUUAGAGGCGGAAAUAGACGGUGAAUGAAUCUGAAAACUGUGCUGAAUGCUGCUGGACCAAGGUUUCGUCGGGUGUAGUGUAGCAGUAUUUUCGUAUCUAUACGUCUGUUUGCUACUCUUACCAUAUGGCUAGUUUUGUAUGAAGAGUAAGGCGAGUGGUUAUUCAUCUAUCAUUUCGAUUUGAAGGAUACCUACAAAGGCAUAAUGUCCCCGUUUCAAUAGCACAAAGUUGAUGAUUAUGGCAAUCUGAACACUGUUUAUCGGGAGAAAUCAAGGUAGCAAAUAUAAAAUAAAACCAACAAUCUACCCAAGUUAUGAAAUUGGUCUUCACCAG